UACGUAGGUCCCGAGCGUUGUCCGGAUUUAUUGGGCGUAAAGCGAGCGCAGGUGGUUUAUUAAGUCUGGUGUAAAAGGCAGUGGCUCAACCAUUGUAUGCAUUGGAAACUGGUAGACUUGAGUGCAGGAGAGGAGAGUGGAAUUCCAUGUGUAGCGGUGAAAUGCGUAGAUAUAUGGAGGAACACCGGUGGCGAAAGCGGCUCUCUGGCCUGUAACUGACACUGAGGCUCGAAAGCGUGGGGAGCAACCAGG
rnacentral:rRNA from 1 species